UUUUCGUUCCGUGUGCUAAUUUCGGCACCGUCAUUGCGACGACGCACGAGGAAGUCGGUGUGAUUCCGGCGCGGUCCCGCCACUGUGACCGGUAGAGCGAUCUCCGGGAGCCAGAUACUCACGUCGCCGUACCUCCUUGC
rnacentral:ncRNA from 1 species